GAUUCAUUGGACACGAAAUUUAAAUAACUAGGAGAACAGCAAAGUGCAGUAAAUAGUAUAGCUAUUUGAAAAAAAAAAUGUGUUUAUGAUUGUGAUAAAUUGAAACAAAAUGAUAACAAAUACCAAUUUGCAAUAUAAAAAAAGCAUAACAGACUUCUUAUGCAUAGGUAAAAUAACUGGAAGUCUGUGACCCUGAAAUUCUUGCACAGUCAGGUUAUUUUAAAAAUUAAUUUAAGAUUAUGCAAUCUUGUUCAAAUAAUUGUCAAGAGAUUAUGUUGAAAGUUACACAUUUACACAGAAGUGCAACUGUUCUGUAACUGAAAGUACUGCGAAAUGAUUAAGGGCUUUUACAAAUAUACUAUAAAAUGUAAUCUAAGAAAAUUUAUUUUAAUUCCUUCCAGAAUGACCAUGACUAAAACUCUGUAAUAAUCUAUUCUUAAAUUAACUCUGGUUUAUGUGGCAUUAAAUGUUAGCCAAUAAAUUGUUUCAGACAUGCAAUUUUUUUCUUUCUUUCUACUCUCUUGUUUUACACAUUUAAAUCUAAAGAUGCUAAUAUAAAUUUUUUAACUAAUAUUUGGUAAUCAUUUACUGAUUGUUACAAGUACAAUUAAAUACUAUUAAAG